rnacentral:lncRNA from 1 species
CCUGUAGUCUUGAAAUAUAUAGAGCCUAUUUAGUAGAGAUUCACCACUGGAAAAAGUGAAUCUAGAUAUGGAAUUCACCAUAGAUCAACUCUACCAUGGAUUUGACAUCCAAUAUGGAUCUACUAGAGAACUGUUUGGCUACACAUCAACUCUAGAUCCAUGAAACAAUAAUUUUGGUGGGUAGUGGCAUAUUUUUCCCUUGGGUUGCAAUAUGAUACAUGUAACAUGUGUCUUUUGUUCAUAAUUAUCAAAAAAUAGUGUAUUUUUAAUAGAAAUGCAAUAUGUUGGCACAC